rnacentral:rRNA from 1 species
AUUGAACGCUGGCGGCAGGCUUAACACAUGCAAGUCGAGCGGGGGAAGCUAGCUUGCUACCGGACCUAGCGGCGGACGGGUGAGUAAUGCUUAGGAAUCUGCCUAUUAGUGGGGGACAACAUCUCGAAAGGGAUGCUAAUACCGCAUACGUCCUACGGGAGAAAGCAGGGGAUCUUCGGACCUUGCGCUAAUAGAUGAGCCUAAGUCGGAUUAGCUAGUUGGUGGGGUAAAGGCCUACCAAGGCGACGAUCUGUAGCGGGUCUGAGAGGAUGAUCCGCCACACUGGGACUGAGACACGGCCCAGACUCCUAUGGGAGGCAGCAGUGGGGAAUAUUGGACAAUGGGGGGAACCCUGAUCCAGCCAUGCCGCGUGUGUGAAGAAGGCCUUAUGGUUGUAAAGCACUUUAAGCGAGGAGGAGGCUACUCUAGUUAAUACCUAGGGAUAGUGGACGUUACUCGCAGAAUAAGCACCGGCUAACUCUGUGCCAGCCGCCGCCGUAA